rnacentral:rRNA from 1 species
CUACGGGGGGCUGCAGUAGGGAAUAUUGGGCAAUGGGCGCAAGCCUGACCCAGCAACGCCGCGUGCGCGAAGAAGGCCUUCGGGUCGUAAAGCGCUUUUCUGAGGGAUGAGAAAGGACAGUACCUCAGGAAUAAGCCUCGGCUAACUACGUGCCAGCAGCCGCGGUAAAACGUAGGAGGCGAGCGUUACCCGGAUUUACUGGGCGUAAAGCGUGUGCAGGCGGUCUGGCAAGUUGGAUGUGAAAGCUCCCGGCUCAACUGGGAGAGGUCGUUCAAAACUACCGGACUAGAGUGUAUCAGAGGGAGAUGGAAUUCCCGGUGUAGUGGUGAAAUGCGUAGAUAUCGGGAGGAACACCAGUGGCGAAAGCGAUCUUCUGGGAUACUACUGACGCUCAGACAUGAAAGCUAAGGUAGCGAACGGGAUUAGAUACCCGAGUAGUC